AUCCGCCCGCCUUGGCCUCCCAAAGUGCUGAGAUUACAGGCGUGAGCCACCGCACUUGGCCCAGGAUGUGGAUGUCUUUGAGGGGCCAUUUUCUGCCCAGCACAAUCUGCCUCUUCUAGAAUUGAAGUCUCUUGAGAGCAAAACUUUAUCUACUUUGCUCUCUACAAUACAGUCAUUGAUUAGAAGAGGGCCAGUAUAUUGUAAGCAUGCAGUAAAUAUGUUUUGAAUAAAUCAGCAAAUCUUGUCCUUCUCUUUCACAAUCCACCUCAUACCAAGGCAGAAUAAUUUUCCUUAAUAUCAGCAUGGAUCAUAAUAUAUUCUUUGAUAUUGUUUGGCUGUGUUCCCAUCCAAAUCUCAUCUUGAAUUUUAGUUCCCAUAAUCCCCAGGUGUCAUGGGAGAGAGCCAGUGGGAGGUAAUGAAUCAUGAGGGUAGUUACCCCCAUGCUGUUGUUCUCACAAUAGUGAGUGAGUUCUUACAAGAUCUGAUGGUUUUAUAAGGGGCUUCCCACCUUUUGCUCUGCUCUUCUCUUUCCUGCUGCCGUGUGAAGAAGUACGUGUUUGCUUCCCCUUCUGCCAUGAUUGUAAGUUUCCUGAGGCCUCCCCAGCACUGUGGAACUCAAAUUCCAGUGGAAGUAACAGCAGAUCUUGCAAAGAGAGAAACAUCUGCCUCAGUUCUGAACAAAGCAAGUGACCAUCCUCAUGCCACAAAACAGAAGAACUUCUGCCAGAUCCAGAACUGUCACCCCUGGGUCGUAUGGAGGCUUUGAAGGUUGAGAUUCAAUCCUCAUUCCUGAGAAGGAGUCCCACAGAAUCUGAGACUGGAAGAAGAGCCAGAUGAUUGAAGCUCAUUUAGUAUCCCUGAGCUACAGAAAGCAAGAGGUGCUUGGUGCUUCUGGGAGUGGUGGUGACACACAUCAUGGGAGGGUGAGGGGAGGAAACGUGUGGCAAACAAAGGUUGUCUCAUUAUGUGGAUAAAAAUUCUCUCGGGUCAUAAAAGUUGUUUCAGAGUAGCCUAUCAGAAGAAUCUGUAACAGCCUGUGAUGAAGUCCAUCUGGGCAAAGUGUCAACCUUCAUUCUCAUCUUCUGUGAUAAGAUCUUCCCUGGUUGAUGAGAGUCCUAUAAAAAUUGUUUUCCUUUACGGAAGUAAAUUUCUUUUACCAAAGGACAGCUUUUCAGAGCUACUCCUGUGUCUGCAGUUUCUCAGAAUAACCUGCUCAAAAUAUGCCAAAGAAGUAUAUCCCAGAGUGGCAUAUUUCGGCCUCCUACGGUCAUAUUUUGAGGUGUUGUGUCCUGAGCUGCCACAGUAUGUGUAAUAGCAGCAAGGAAAGAGUUUGGGGUAAGGUAUAGAACCCUGAAAUGCCAUGCUGAGGAAUAUACACUUUAUUCUGUGUAUAUUCAUAGACACUUGUUUUGAGGGAAUUAAAAUGGAGGGGCAGGGAAGUCUUGUGAGCGCUUUGGAAAGAUCGUUCCUGAAAUGGGAUAGGGAAAGAGUAGAAGAAAGUGAGUACAGAAACAGAGAUUCCCUUUAGGAGAGAACAGAAGAUGGAGGCUCAAACUGAAGAGGUGGCAAUGGAAUAGCAGGGAGGAAACCGAUUCUGAGGAUAUUUAUUUAAGGUAUUAAGAUAUUUACUUAUUUAAGAGAAUAAACAGAGCAUGUUCACAGAUGAGGAGGAGUUCAGCUCGGGGAGUGUUGACUGCCAAAUGCCAAUAAAACAUCAAGAAGGGAAGCCCAGGAAGCAAAUAGAUGCUGAGAUCUGAAGCUCAGGAGAGAGGUCUGGGAUGGAGAGAGUCAUUUGUGUGUAAGUCAAAGCUGAAGCUGGGAUCUCCCAGGAGAAAUAUGUCAAGUGGGAAGAGAACAGGGCUGAUGCUGGACAUCUGGGGAACAGUACCUAAGGGCAGAUGGAAAAAAGAGACCCUGACAAGAGGGUAACAAGGAAGCAGAGGGGCUGAAGGAACACCUGGGGAGAUGAGUGUCCUAGAAAUCAGGAAAGCAGAGCUCACAAAAGGAGUGAGUGUUCGAGAGUGUUAAAAGUGACAGAGGACAUCAGAUUAAGUAAGACCUGAGAGGUUCCCAGUACAUUUGACAAUGAGCUGCUCAGACGUGAUCUUUGCCAAAGCAGUUCCAUGCAGUAGGGUGAGCAGUAGUCAUAAUGCAGAUGGUAGAAGAAUGAAUAGGGAAGGGGGACUGUAAGAAUUUGGGAAUAGCCUCUAGAGUGUAUGCUACUCUCUCUAGAAGAUUGACUGUCAUGGGAAAAUUAAUGGAGGAAUAUAGGGCUGAGAGGUUCCUUGACGAUAUGGUGAGCCUAGGACAGUGCGUGGUCCCAAAAGGCACUCAAAUAUGUAAUUAUCUAAUAAAAGUUGAAAUGAUGAAUUGCUAAAUAACUGAAAAAUGAGUCAGAGAAGACUUCUUGUAUUUGAAAGCAUUUAAUUCCUCAUUUAUGUAUCUUCACAAGAAAGGACACAGAAGAUUAACCAGAGAAGGAAAAAGCAUGCGGUCUGGAAGAAUAUGUGAACAUUCAUGUUGUAAGCAAUGGGGAGAGACAACUGGAGUGAGACCCAGGCAUAGGCAACUGGAAUGUGUGCCCCACAGAGGAGGCAGCUUGCGGAGGGGGAGCUUCCUGCUGAGGAAGUUCACUGAGGGAAUACAGACAGCAUCAUCAGAGAUGGGGACUUGCUAUACUGCCCAGGCUGGACAUG